AUUUAUUUUUAAUGCCAUUACAAACAUUUGAUGUUUUUAGGCAGAUCUAAGUUACAUGUAUUUUUACAUGUAUUAAAUAUAUACAUAUUUAUGUACAUCUGCAGAAUAUUAAUUAACAAUAAGUCUUACGACUCAAACAGUAUAAAAUUUGUAAUAGAUAAAUACAAGUUUCAUCGGUCAUUAAAAUUUUUAGGAAAUGAUACCAUACAAUAUGGAUAGACAAAAAGUUUAGAAAUCUAAAUAAAAACUUAUUUAAUGGAUGCUAUAAUUUCAAAGCUGUUUUGUUUUUAGUAAUUUCUAAUUAAUAUUCUAAUUAUUACCUAUGUUAAUCUCAUACAUUCAGUACCAAUUUGAUGUUUCUCAUUUUGUAAUGACUAGAGUCACCAAUAAGACAAUAUAUGAUUUGAAGUGGACUGAUAUGAUAAAAUCUUGAAAGGGGACAAAAUACAGAUAAAUUCAAUGAUAUCUUUUCUUAAUAAGCCCUGUCACUUAUAAAGUAACUCAUAAGACAAAACAGGUCAAUGACAAUGUACAUAAAGUUUAUAAUGCAGAUUUAAAAAUGCCAACAUGUCUUUCUUCCUUAUUAUCAGGAAAAAAUGAUUUUUUUUUAUUAAUAUUUAAUUUACUGACGUUAUACUCAAAUGUCAAUUACAAUUUUAAUUUGGCAUUACAUCAUUUAAGGAAGUUUUUAAGUAUCUUUAAAAGAUAUACUACAUUAUAUACUUACAAGUAAUUGAGUUACUGUGGAUUCAUUUAUUUUCGUGGGUACCAAUUUUGAUGAUUUUUGAAAAAUCAUACUUUUGUGGUUUGUCAAUGCAUAUACGCUUAUAGAAAAUUCCUACCUCAUUCAGUAUUGAAAUUUGUGGUUCAUCUAAACCCAUAAAAUCCAUGAAAAUUGGUAUUCCACGAAUAUUAAUACACAGUACUACUGGCAUUAUAUCCUUAAUAUGGAAUAACUUGUGACAGAAAAAUAUUGGCACUAUAUCAAUAAUUUAGAAUACAUUUUAAAAAUUAACAUUCAAAAUUCACUAAAUUUCAAAUAUCGUUUACAUAAAGUGACAACUGUAUUAUUCAUUAUUCAUAUAAUAUAAACAGUAUAAAAGUUUUGAAACCUACAAAAAAUGUUUGACUAGUCAAUUUUAACAUAAUCCCAAUACAGCACAACCAUGUGACAUCUAUUAUAAAUACAAUCUGAUUCCAAUACCUAUCCUGCGUUCACGCUUCACUAACACUGAACAGACAACGCUUCGUUCUACUUCCUGUUCUGGUCAUUAUCAUGUCAGAGAAUAGAUGUAUUUACACUUGCAUGCAAAUUUGUUCGCCAUAACAAAAAAUCACACAGGUUCCCUUAAACUUUGACAUCACAAUUUAAAACAUUUAACAUCACACUUAAGAAGUGAUUGUUUCUUGACGUCAGAGUAGAUCUAAGGUCAUUCAGGAACAAAAUUCAGCUGAAUACCAAAAGUGUAAAUACAUAUAUCCCAAAGUUCUUUAAAACAAAAAGUAGAACAGACACAAAUCUAUUCUACUUUCUGUUCUGGUUAUUAUCACAUCAGUUAAUCAUUUGGACAAAACCCGAGGAUCCUGAAAGGUCUUUAAAAUAGAAAGUAGAAUGUAACAUUGUCAAAUCCUUGUAAGCUAAGCCUGAACACAUAAUCUGUAUUUCCUUCAAAUUGAUAAUAAAUACAACAAUAAAUUCCAUAUGUACAAAUGUCUUUUCUCUGUACAAAAAAUAUAAACUUCGAUAAUGUAUGUCAUGUGGUACAAAAUAUACAUACAACAAAAAAACAUAUAAAAAACUAUGAGUUAAUUAUCUCUAAACAGUUCUAUAUCUUUAUUUCUCAACAAACCAAAGUACAUUGGUAUAGAUUAAACAGUCAAUCCCUGAUCAUAUAGUCAAUUUUUUAACAGAAAUGAUAUUGCUGUACAACCAGGUAAUCCUUCGUUUUAAAUAAAUACAACUCUCAUAUAGUUAUGGCACAUACUUAUUUCAAAAUGAUGCAGAAAUAGUGAAAAACUUAAAACUUGAUUUACAGGAAAGAGACCAUGUUAAAAAAAAAGCACUUUUUUUAUGCUUUUUCUCAGAAGAUGCUUCAAAUUUAUUCUUUU
rnacentral:lncRNA from 1 species